rnacentral:rRNA from 1 species
AGAGUUUGAUCCUGGCUCAGAAUCAACGCUGGCGGCGUGCCUCAGACAUGCAAGUCGAACGCGAAAGUCCCCUUCGGGGGGCGAGUAGAGUGGCGCACGGGUGAGUAACACGUAGGUAAUCUACCUUUGGAUUGGGAAUAACCACCGGAAACGGUGGCUAAUACCGAAUAAUGCAGCGGCACCUAAUGGUGACAGUUGUUAAAGCGGGGGAUCGCAAGACCUCGCGUCUGAAGAGGAGCCUGCGGCAGAUUAGCUAGUUGGUAAGGUAACGGCUUACCAAGGCGAUGAUCUGUAGCCGGCCUGAGAGGGCGGUCGGCCACACUGACACUGACAUACGGGUCAGACUCCUACGGGAGGCAGCAGUCGGGAAUUUUGGGCAAUGGGCGAAAGCCUGACCCAGCAACGCCGCGUGAAGGAUGAAAUCCUUCGGGAUGUAAACUUCGCAAGAACGGGAAGAAUAAGUAAGGGUUAAUAUCUCUUACGAUGACGGUACUGUUUGUAAGCUCCGGCUAACUCCGUGCCAGCCGCCGCGGUAAUAC